rnacentral:tRNA from 1 species
GCCAGGAUGGCCGAGCGGUCGAAGGCGCCAGACUUAAGAUCGCUUUCAAGUCUUCUGGUCCUCAUUUGAGGGCGUGGGUUCGAACCCCACUCCUGGCA